rnacentral:ncRNA from 2 species
AAACUUAAACAGGGGAGCUCAUAGUAAUGGGCUGAGAGGAAGCUGGUCUGCUUCGACCCAUAACCUGAUUUGGAUAAUGCCAACGUAGGGAUCAUAAAGCAGAGUAUA